AAAAAAGAGUUUCAAAAAUAUAUAGAUUCCUUAACAGAUAAAGUUUUUAGUUUGUCUCACUCAUUUACGCCUUAUCAAUGGAAACUUGCAAACAUAACACCUAUCGCUAAAUUACCAAACCCAAGUAACUGGUCAGAUUUCCGCCCAAUCUCACCCGCAUCCUACCUCUGCAAGACAUUAGAAAGAGUUAUAGCCAAAUUUAUUAUCCAACAUACUCAAAUCUUAGAAAACAACAAACAAUAUGGGUUCCUACCAGGUAAAAGCACAAUGGAUGCAAUCGCAUGUGUCAUAGAAGACUGGCAUUUUGCUAAAGAUAAAAAGAAAAAUUUAAUUGCAAUAUUCUUUGACUGCUAAAGCCUUUGACGUAAUUGAUCACGAACUUCUUCUUACCAAAUUAACAAUAUUACCAAAUUAACCUCCCUAAAUGGCUUAUUUCCUGGAUUGCAUUGUACCUAAAGACCAGAUAUCAGCAAGUUUAUACUAACGGCAUAGCAACAGAAUGGCAACCUGUUGAAGCUGGAGUCAUCCAAGGCAUUACACUUGGAUCCGUUCUUUUUAUACUCUUCAUACUCGAUAUAAACGAUAUAUUUAACUGCAAUACUGAACUUUACAAAUUUGCUAAUGACAUCCUUGCAUACAUUGUUGGAGACCUAGCCUACUCAACCCUACUACAGGAAAUAUGCAACAAAGUUAAUAGCUGGUGCAUUAAAAACCAAAUGUUAUUAAACACAAAAAAAUGAAAAAUCAUGAGCAUACCUAAUAACAAACUCGACACACGCCCACCACCAAUUGUUUCCAUCAACUCUAAAGCUCUCAAAUAUGUAACCUCAUACAAAUACCUAGAAUUAGAUUUAAAUAUUGAAAUGAGCACCGACUAACAAUGGCAUCGUAUCAAGCCCGAAUUCUCCUCAGCUCAGUACCUAAUUAGAAGUCUAAAAAAAUAGGCUUUCACAAUGAAUUACCAGUAACAAUAUACCAAAGCAUUGGAUUUAGCCACUUGAUCCACUGUGCACCAUUACUGUGUGCAAGCAGUAACAAAAUAAAGCACGAAAUACAGCAAAUACAUCUAAAAACGCUAAAAUCUAUAGGCAUUAGUCCAGAAAUCGCCAGAACAAAAUAUAACAUUGAAAACACCGACACAUAUAUUGACAAUAUAUGUAUAAAAAUCCUAAGGCGUAUUCUACGAAACCCAAAUCAUACGCUAAACAUUAAGACAAAAAAAAGAUCCAAAAUAAAAUAUCAACUUUGGUUUCAAGAUAGGUUUACAUACCCAAAGAACAUUGUUUACAUACGGUUACGUUACGGUUUACAUACCCAAAGAACAUUGCGUCUUAUAUGAGAUGGGAAGCGUAACUUCUAUACUAGUUAAUCAAAGCAACUACAAACUAACAAUUUAUGUAUGCAUAUAUGUGUGCAUAUAUAUGUAUAAAUAUCCCAUUACUAUUAUUAUAGAUUUCUUGAGAUUUCUUACGUUUAGUUGAAUCAACAAGGUCUACCAUUGAACCAUCUUCACCUGGUACAGUUGUUUCAUCGUCGUCUGCGUCAAGUGGACCAUGUACAUCAUUUACGAUUAGUUCAUGUUCAUCUUCAACAACUGGUAUUUUUAAAAACUAUUAUUUUUUAAUGUGUGGGCAUUUCUCAGCAAUUGCAAUAUCUUUAAAUGACAAUUUUUUCUACAAUUAGUUCCACCUGCUCAACCUUCUGCUGGUAAAUUUAUAGCUUACAUAUGAAGCCUACAGGAUUUACAGGACCCAGCAUCUUGGACCCACAAGCAACAAGUCAUAUUUGCUCGACCCGGUUGGGGGCAAAGACGAUCCCCUUUUUAGAUGGCGCUAUUAUUCUCCAAACAGGGGUGCUGGGGACAGCAGCAGAGGUACUGCAAGUGGUCGUGGCAAAAGAGGUCGACAAAAGUGGAGUGGUGGCAGCCAUUAUGUUAACUUUAAUAUAAACAAUUAAAAAGUUAACAUGGUGCCACCAUUCCUUUAUUUUUCUUCAAUAAUAUAUAAUAUUAGUUAA